rnacentral:rRNA from 1 species
UACAGAGGUCUCAAGCGUUGUUCGGAUUCAUUGGGCGUAAAGGGUGCGUAGGCGGCGCGGUAAGUCGGGUGUGAAAUCUUGGAGCUUAACUCCGAAACUGCAAUUCGAUACUGCGGUGCUUGAGGACUGGAGAGGAGACUGGAAUUCAUGGUGUAGCAGUGAAAUGACGUAGAGAUCAUGAGGAAGACCAGUGGCGAAGGCGGGUCUCUGGACAGUUCCUGACACUGAGACACGAAGGCCAGGGGAGCAAACGGG